UCUCUCCUACAUGGCAUUUAUUUAUUUUUUUAUUAUAUAUUUUUUUUAAAAACCAAAUUAAAGGCCUGUAAAAAUCAAAUUUCAGAAAUCCUAAAAGUCCUCUCUCAGUCCCUCGCUCUCCCUCCCGCGCUCACCCUCUCUCUCUCCUCCGGCGAGUUCUUCGGCCACCGGAAAUCCUCUCUCACUCCAGCACUCUCCCUCCCGCGCUCACCCUCUCUCUCCUCCGGCGAGUUCUUCGGCACCGGCGAAGCUGUCCGUCCACUGUCUCUCUCACUCCGGCGACGUCUACAGCCACCGGCGAAGCUCCUGUCUCUCUCUCACUCCGGCGAAGUCGAAGGCUCUCUCUCUCCUCCACCGGUGAGAUAUUGACAGAAGUACUUAGAAGAGAGAAGACAACACAUUUUGCAGAGAUAUGGAGUAUUAAGAAGAGAGAAGCCAAAUCCUAAAGCAUUUAGAAGAAGAGAAUGCAACAUUUAUUUAUUUAUUUUAAAUGUAAUACUUAUUGAGAGGUCGUAUUUGUAGUGGAAUGGAGGUCAAUUCUUGAUCCAAAUUUCAUCCAUAUAGAACAUGCCCAACAACUUGCUAAUGAAUCUCUUCAUUGUGUUGU